UAGAUUAGAGUGGGUUCAAGAGAAAAAUCACAGGCGGGAAUUGGAGACAGUGAGGGUAGAUAACCCUGUCUAGGGGCUUCUCUGUAAAAGGAAGGAGAGAAGUGAAGCAGUUGCUAGAGUGAGAUUCUCAAAGGUAUCUGUGACACAUAAAAGAUUAAGAAGCACUGCAUUGGGAGGAUGCUGAAGGUUCAUCAAUAGAAGGAAAUUCAGAGUGGAUCCCAGACAGUGCCAGAACCAGGCUCAAGACUUCUGACUUCUCGCCCUGCCCUGCUCCAGGAGAGUCCUCCAGAAGUUUUUAUAGAAGGCAUUUUCCAACCAAGCUAUAAAAGUGGGAAGCUACACACUUUGGAGAACUUGCUAGAAUCCAUUGAUCCAACCUUGGAGAGCUGGGGAAAGUACUUGAUUGCUGCCUGCCAACAUUUACAGAAGAAGAACUACUACCACAUUCUGUAUGAGCUGCAGCAGUUUAUGAAGGACCAAGUUCGGGCCGCCAUGACCUGUAUUCGGUUCUUCAGUCACAAAGCAAAGUCAUAUACAGAACUGGGAGAGAAGCUCUCAUGGCUACUUAAGGCCAAGGACCACCUGAAGAUCUACCUCCAAGAAACAUCCCGCAGCUCUGGAAGGAAGAAAACCACAUUCUUCAGAAAGAAGAUGACUGCAGCUGAUGUGUCAAGGCACAUGAACACACUUCAGCUGCAGAUGGAAGUGACCAGGUUCUUGCAUCGGUGUGAAAGUGCUGGGACCUCUCAAAUCACCACUUUGCCUCUGCCAACCCUGUUUGGAAAUAACCACGUGAAAAUGGAUGUUGCCUGCAAGGUCAUGCUGGGAGGGAAAAAUGUAGAAGAUGGUUUUGGAAUUGCUUUCCGUGUUCU
rnacentral:sRNA from 1 species